UACGAAGGGUGCAAACGUUGCUCGGAAUUAUUGGGCGUAAAGCGCACGUAGGCGGCUUUGCAAGUCGGAUGUGAAAUCCCUCGGCUCAACCAAGGAAGUGCAUCCGAAACUGCAGAGCUUGAGUACUUAAGAGGAUCGCGGAAUUCCCGGUGUAGAGGUGAAAUUCGUAGAUAUCGGGAGGAACACCAGUGGCGAAGGCGGCCAACUGGUCCGGUACUGACGCUGAGGUGCGAAAGCGUGGGGAUCAAACAGG
rnacentral:rRNA from 1 species